ACACCCAAAUCCCCAUUUUUGUCAAUGAAACAACAUGCAAAGAAGAAGAUGAAAAUUAGGAGAGAAAAAAAAAAACAAAAGAUAAAAAUAAAAAGAAGAAGAAGCAGAAGAAUCUCAAACAAACAGAGAAAGGGGAAAAGAGAGAAGGGUAAUGCAGGGGGGAGAAAAAAGGGAAAUUGGGUGGAUACACAUUGAAGAAGAGCAAUAACUACAAAAACCCAGAAGGUAAUAAUUCAAUACGGAAACACUGAGCAAAAGUCCUUAUCAGAAUACAUAUUUCUAGGGCAAGAAGAAGAAAGAAAGGGUGUUUCACUCUGUUUGGUUUCUCUCUCUUCUGUGUUGUGAUUAAGAAGAGAGAGAGAGUAGUGGGUAAU
rnacentral:lncRNA from 1 species